AGCGAACGCUGGCGGCAGGCUUAACACAUGCAAGUCGAACGCCCCGCAAGGGGAGUGGCAGACGGGUGAGUAACACGUGGGAACGUACCCUUUGGUUCGGAACAACUUGGGGAAACUCAAGCUAAUACCGGAUAAGCCCUUAUGGGGAAAGGUUUACUGCCGAAGGAUCGGCCCGCGUCUGAUUAGCUAGUUGGUGAGGUAAUGGCUCACCAAGGCGACGAUCAGUAGCUGGUCUGAGAGGAUGAUCAGCCACACUGGGGCUGAGACACGGCCCAGACUCCUACGGGAGGCAGCAGUGGGGAAUAUUGGACAAUGGGGGCAACCCUGAUCCAGCCAUGCCGCGUGAGUGAUGAAGGCCUUAGGGUUGUAAAGCUCUUUUACCCGGGACGAUAAUGACUGUACCGGGAGAAUAAGCCCCGGCUAACUUCGUGCCAGCCGCCGCUGUA
rnacentral:rRNA from 1 species